rnacentral:rRNA from 1 species
UACGUAGGGUCCGAGCGUUGUCCGGAAUUACUGGGCGUAAAGAGCUCGUAGGUGGUUUGUCGCGUUGUUCGUGAAAACCCGAAGCUCAACUUCGGGCCUGCAUCCGAAACUGCCCGACUGGAGGUAGGUAGGGGAGAUCGGAAUUCCUGGUGUAGCGGUGAAAUGCGCAGAUAUCAGGAGGAACACCGGUGGCGAAGGCGGAUCUCUGGGCCUUACCUGACGCUCAGGUGCGAAAGCUAGGGGAGCGAACAGG